rnacentral:rRNA from 1 species
CCUACGGGAGGCAGCAGGAGCGAAAAUUGCCCAAUCCCGACACGGGGAGGCAGUGACGAGAAAUAACAACUCUUGGUUAUUCUAAGAAGUGUAAUGAGGAUAAUUUAAAACCCUUACCGAAAGCAAUUGGAGGGCAAGUCUGGUGCCAGCAGCCGCGGUAAUUCCAGCUCCAAUAGCGUAUAUUAAAGUUGUUGCAGUUAAAAAGCUCGUAGUUGAAGUUCUGGCUGCUUGACCCUCGAGCUCUGUAGCCGAGGGCUCAGCAGUCAUCCGCUUGCAAACAUAUGUUCGCCUUUAACCGGGCGACUAUGUGAGUAAGCAUUUUACCUUGAGAAAAACAGAGUGUUCCAGGCAGGUUUGUCCGGAAUGCAUUAGCAUGGAAUAAUAGAAUAUGACUGAAGUCGAUUUAUUGGUUUGAGGUCUUUAGUAAUGAUUAAUAGGAACAGUCGGGGCAUUGGUACUUGACAGUCAGAGGUGAAAUUCUAGGAUUUGUCAAAGACUAACAAAUGACGAAAGCAUUUGCCAAGGAUGUUUUCAUUAAUCAAGAACGAAAGUUAGGGGAUAGAAGAGAGAGAGAGUACCGUACCGUUACGUUACGUUAACUUAAUUAAACUUAACUUACCGUUACCGUUACGGUUAGUUACGUUAGAGUUAGAUACGUAUAAAGUUAGUUAGUUACGGGUUACCGGGUUAACGGGUUAAGGUAAACCGUAACCGUUAAACCGGUUUUACCGGGUUUUAACCGGGUUUAA